rnacentral:rRNA from 1 species
GACGAACGCUGGCGGCGUGCUUAACACAUGCAAGUCGAACGGAAGGGCCCUGCUUUUGUGGGGUGCUCGAGUGGCGAACGGGUGAGUAACACGUGAGUAACCUGCCCUUGACUUUGGGAUAACUUCAGGAAACUGGGGCUAAUACCGGAUAGGAGCUCCUGCUGCAUGGUGGGGGUUGGAAAGUUUCGGCGGUUGGGGAUGGACUCGCGGCUUAUCAGCUUGUUGGUGGGGUAGUGGCUUACCAAGGCUUUGACGGGUAGCCGGCCUGAGAGGGUGACCGGCCACAUUGGGACUGAGAUACGGCCCAGACUCCUACGGGAGGCAGCAGUGGGGAAUAUUGCACAAUGGGCGGAAGCCUGACGCAGCAACGCCGCGUGCGGGAUGACGGCCUUCGGGUUGUAAACCGCUUUCGCCUGUGACGAAGCGUGAGUGACGGUAAUGGGUAAAGAAGCACCGGCUAACUACGUG